rnacentral:rRNA from 1 species
AUGGUGCUGGAGGAGUGGGAGGCCGUGUUCCGGCAGGCGCAGGUCGAACAGGCCUACAAUCUUCGCCUCCUCGACGAGCACCGGUGCACGGAUGAGCUACCCGUCCCCGGCGCGGCCAUCAUGCCGGACGUGGACAUGGGUGAGCAGGAGGCUCUGCUUGACUCCUACCGCGCCGCCCGCGACAUCCGCCGCGACUACUGGCUCUACCGCCAGGCGGAUUUAAAGGCCGCCUACAAGGGGAUCGACGAGGUGGCGGAUGAAGUUUACGGGCCCGAUGACGGCAAUGAGGUGGCUGGCGGCUCCGUGGCCGCGGCAUGGCGCAACAACGACGAAGCAGGCAUGUUCGCGGGCGCCGUCGACAGCGAGGCAGAUUAG